AGUGAACGCUGGCGGCAGGCCUAAUACAUGCAAGUCGAGCGAACAGACGAUGAGCUUUCUCCUCUACCGGUAGCGGCGGACGGGUGAGUAACGCGUAGAUCACCUUCCUCUUUUACGUGGGUAACAACGUGGGACAAGAGAUGCUAAUAGCGCAUAUGUUCAACCGCAUGAAGCAAGAGUGCAUGACACUUUUGCUGACACAUUUAGAUGGUGCCGCGCCGGAUUAGCUAGUUGGUAAGGUAACGGCUUACCAAGGCGACGAUGCGUAGCUGAUCUGAGAGGAUGAUCAGCCACACUGGAACUGAGACACGGUCCAGACUCCUACGGGAGGCAGCAGUAGGGAAUAUUCCGCAAUGGGCGCAAGCCUGACGCAGCAACGCCGCGUGAGUGAAGAAGGUCUUCGGAUCGUAAAGCUCUGUUAUUAGGGAAGAACAACAGCGUAAGAAACUAUGGACGUCUUGACGGUACCCAAUGAGAAAGCAACGGCUAACUACGUG
rnacentral:rRNA from 1 species